AUGAUAUUGAAGAACUACUGGCAAUAUUUUGUUUGGUGUCACAAGUUUCUUCCUGUGAAGAAAACAUUCUACACGGUGGGCUUAGCAGCCGCUUGUUGGGCCAUCUGGUUGGCACGAAAUCGGGCUACUUUUGGAAAGAAACAAAUCAAGACUCCUUUUGAGAUUGUGUUUUCUCUGUGCUCUUUUCUGCUUUACUGGACAGGUUUACAACAGGGAGACGCCGCCAGGGAGUUACGUACGGGAGCCGAGAUGGUCAGGACUAGUACGAUGCAGCUGAUGAAGAUGUGUGAUGUUGCCAAGCAACCGAUCCAAGGUUCCUGA
rnacentral:rRNA from 1 species